rnacentral:rRNA from 1 species
GACAGAGGGUGCAAACGUUGUUCGGAAUACUGGGCGUAAAGCGCGUGUAGGCGGCCAUGCAAGUCGGAUGUGAAAGCCCUCGGCUCAACCGGGGAAGUGCACUCGAAACUGCAAGGCUAGAGUCUCGGAGAGGAUCGUGGAAUUCUCGGUGUAGAGGUGAAAUUCGUAGAUAUCGAGAGGAACACCGGUGGCGAAGGCGGCGAUCUGGACGAUGACUGACGCUGAGACGCGAAGCGUGGGAGCAAACGGGAUAAGAUACCCGGUAGUCAGACCGAAUGUCGUCCGUGCCCU